UACUACCGAAGCUACGGCAUCAGUAAUGAUGGGUAGGGGAGCUUCCCAUACGGGUUGAAGCAUGACCGUAAGGACAUGUGGACAGUAUGGGAGUGAGAAUGUUGGCAUGAGUAGCGAGAUGUGGGUGGGAAUCCCACAGGCCGUAAACCCAAGGUUUCCAGGGGAAGGUUCGUCCGCCCUGGGUUAGUCGGGACCUAAGCUGAGGCCGAAAGGCGUAGGGGAUGGACAACAGGUUGAUAUUCCUGUACUACCGAUAACCGUUUGAGAGAAGGGAUGACACAGUAGGAUAAGCUAAGCACACUGUUGGUUAUGUGUGCCCAAGCAUUGAGGCAGUCAAAGUAGGCAAAUCCGCUUUGAUAAUGCUGGGAUGUGAUGGGGAGCGAAAUUUAGUAGCGAAGUAGCUGAUUUCACACUGUCAAGAAAAGUCUCUAUCGAGGUUAAAGGUACCCGUACCGCAAACCGACACAGGUGGGUGAGG
rnacentral:rRNA from 1 species